UGACAAAAGGAACGGCAUCCUUUGGAAAGCAUCCCAAAAACAGGCACACAUUGUACCGCCGGUCUCCGUGGCUCUAAGGACGACCACUAUCAGAAAUCUAUCUGUGGCAAACGUGGCUACCCUGCCAAGCGCAAGCAAAAGUCUAACUGCAGUGCCAAGGCUAAGAGACGAAGUACUGCAGAGACUGGGCGGAUGAGACACCUUAAAAUUGUCUAUGGGAGAUUCAGACAUGGAUUUCAUAAAGGAACAACACCGAAACCCAAAAGGGCAGCCGUUGCAGCAA
rnacentral:lncRNA from 1 species